rnacentral:lncRNA from 12 species
AUCACACACAAGUGACACAGGUGUCACUCAGGUGACACAGGUGGGACACAGAUCACACACAGGUGACACAGGUGUGACACAGGUGGGACACAGAUCACACACAAGUGACACAGGUGUCACUCAGGUGACACAGGUGGGACACAGAUCACACACAGGUGACACAGGUGUGACACAGGUGGGACACAGAUCACACACAAGUGACACAGGUGUCACUCAGGUGACACAGGUGGGACACAGAUCACACACAGGUGACACAGGUGUGACACAGGUGGGACACAGAUCACACACAAGUGACACAGGUGUCACUCAGGUGACACAGGUGGGACACAGAUCACACACAGGUGACACAGGUGUGACACAGGUGGGACACAGAUCACACACAGGUGUCACUCAGGUGACACAGGUGUGACACAACCGCUGGGCACGGGGACAGUGGCACCGGGCACGGGGACACCGCUGGGCACGGGGACACCACUGGACACGGUGACAGUGGCACCGGACACGGGGACACCGCUGGACACGGGGACAGUGGCACCGGACACGGGGACACCGCUGGACACGGGGACAGUGGCACCGGGCACGGGGACACCGCUGGACACAGGGACAGUGACCCCCGGUGCCACCACAGCCCCACCCUCGGGGCAGGCAGGUGACACCGAGGGACAGGGGGGAGGGGACACUGGGCUUGUGGUCAGCGUGGUCAUCGGAGGUGACCCCGAGGUCUUGGGGGGCCCCGCGGGCUCGUGGCCGUUCACUGUCCCCAAUGUCCCCGAUGUCCCCAGUGUCCCCAGUGUCCCCAGUGUCCCCACUGUCCCCACUGUCCCCAUGUCCCCAGUGUCCCCAGUGUCCCCAGUGUCCCCAAUGUCCCCCCCCCCCCCCCCCCCCCCCCCCCCCCCCCCCCCCCCCCCCCCCCCCCCCCCCCCCCCCCCCCCCCCCCCCCCC